rnacentral:rRNA from 1 species
GACGAACGCUGGCGGCGUGCCUAAUACGUGCAAGUAGAACGCUGAAGGAGGAGCUUGCUUCUCUGGAUGAGUUGCGAACGGGUGAGUAACGCGUAGGUAACCUGCCUGGUAGCGGGGGAUAACUAUUGGAAACGAUAGCUAAUACCGCAUAAUAGCAGUUGUUGCAUGACAACUGUUUGAAAGGUGCAAUUGCACCACUACCAGAUGGACCUGCGUUGUAUUAGCUAGUUGGUGGGGUAACGGCUCACCAAGGCGACGAUACAUAGCCGACCUGAGAGGGUGAUCGGCCACACUGGGACUGAGACACGGCCCAGACUCCUACGGGAGGCAGCAGUAGGGAAUCUUCGGCAAUGGACGGAAGUCUGACCGAGCAACGCCGCGUGAGUGAAGAAGGUUUUCGGAUCGUAAAGAUCUGUUGUAAGAGAAGAACGAGUGUGAGAGUGGAAAGUUCACACUGUGACGGUAUCUUACCAGAAAGGGACGGCUAACUACGUG